GUGUUGAAGCACUGGUUCCCACAUGAUCACUGAAGUUAAGCAAUGUUGAGCCUGGUCAGUAUCUAGAUGGGUGACUGCUUGGAAUAUUAGGUGCUGUAA